GUUCCCGCAGCAGUCGGCCCGCCCAGGCGCGGGGGCGGGCGCGGGGGCGGGGGCGGCCGGCCCCCUGCUGCUGCUGGGGCUCACCGAGCGCCGCAAGAGGCUCAGGCCCAGUAUGUCCCAGGGCACAGUGAUGGUUCAGCCUCGGUUUCAAGAGAAGGACUUUACUGUUGCAACACCAGAAGAAUUUGUUAGGAGGUUUGGUGGCACGAAAGUCAUCAACAAAGUGCUGAUAGCAAACAAUGGAAUCGCAGCUGUGAAAUGCAUGAGAUCUGUACGACGUUGGUCUUACGAGAUGUUUAAAAAUGAACGUGCUGUCCGCUUUGUAGUGAUGGUGACACCGGAGGACCUUAAAGCGAAUGCUGAGUACAUAAAAAUGGCAGACCACUAUGUACCUGUACCUGGAGGUACUAACAACAACAAUUAUGCAAAUGUUGAGCUGAUUGUUGACAUAGCUAUGCGAACACAAGUUCAGGCUGUUUGGGCAGGGUGGGGUCAUGCCUCAGAGAAUCCAAAGCUUCCAGAGCUGCUGCACAAACACAACAUAACCUUCAUAGGUCCACCAGAGAAGGCAAUGUGGGCACUGGGUGACAAAAUAGCCUCUAGUAUUGUUGCUCAGACUGCAGACAUUCCAACACUUGCAUGGUCUGGAAGUGAGCUGAAAGCACAAUAUGGUGGAAAGAAGAUAAAAAUCUCAUCAGAACUGUAUAAGAAAGGUUGUGUAAGUACAAUAGAAGAUGGGUUACAGGCAGCUCAGAGGAUUGGAUUUCCUGUUAUGAUAAAAGCAAGUGAAGGAGGUGGCGGCAAAGGAAUCCGUAAAGCAGAAAAUACUGAAGAGUUUCCAAAUCUUUUUAGACAGGUACAAGCUGAAGUUCCAGGAUCACCAAUUUUUAUUAUGAAGCUGGCUCGAUGUGCACGGCAUUUGGAAGUUCAGCUUCUGGCUGAUCAGUACGGCAAUGCAAUCUCUCUUUUUGGUCGAGACUGCUCCAUACAGAGGCGUCACCAAAAGAUUAUUGAAGAGGCUCCUGCUGUCAUUGCCAAACCUGAAGUGUUUGAGGAUAUGGAAAAGGCAGCUGUCCGACUUGCAAAAAUGGUGGGCUACGUAAGUGCAGGAACUGUGGAAUAUCUUUAUGACAUAAACGGCAAUUACUACUUCUUAGAACUGAACCCUAGGCUGCAGGUUGAGCACCCAUGUACAGAAAUGGUGGCAGAUGUGAAUCUUCCUGCAGCUCAGUUACAGAUUGCUAUGGGUUUGCCAUUAGACCGGAUCAAAGACAUUCGUCUUUUAUAUGGCGAGUCACCAUGGGGCGAUUCACCUAUUGAUUUUGAUAAUCCACGGCACAAGCCCCAGCCCUGGGGACAUGUAAUUGCUGCUCGGAUAACUAGUGAAAAUCCUGAUGAAGGCUUCAAACCAAGUUCUGGCACAGUACAAGAACUUAACUUCAGAUCAUCAAAAAAUGUCUGGGGCUACUUCAGUGUGGCUGCAUCUGGUGGUUUACAUGAAUUUGCAGACUCUCAGUUUGGACAUUGCUUCUCAUGGGGUGAAAAUAGAGAGCAAGCCAGGGAGAAUCUUGUGAUAGCUUUAAAGGAACUCUCAAUCAGGGGUGACUUCCGUACAACAGUUGAGUAUCUCAUCAAGCUGCUAGAGACAUCAAGCUUCCAGAACAAUACUAUAGACACUUCAUGGCUAGAUAUUCUCAUUGCAGAGCGAAUCCAGGCAGAAAAGCCUGAUAUUUUGCUAGGUGUAAUUUGUGGUGCUCUUCAUAUAGCUGACCGAGCGCUCAUCACUGCAUUUCAGAACUUCCAGACGUCUUUGGAGAAGGGGCAAGUUCAAGGAUCUAAUACUCUGUUCAACACAGUUGAUGUUGAAUUAAUAAAUGAAGGGUACAAAUACAAGGUACAAGCCACCAAAUCUGGACCAAACAAUUAUUUUAUUGUAUUGAAUGGCUCCUUUAAGGAAAUAGAAGUCCAUAGGCUUUCUGAUGGAGGCAUCUUGCUUUCAAUUGAUGGUUCAAGUUACACAACAUACAUGCGCGAAGAAGUUGAUCGCUAUCGCAUUGUUAUUGGAAACCAAACGUGCAUUUUUGAAAAGGAGAAAGACCCUUCCCUUCUGCGUUCACCGUCACCAGGCAAACUUCUGUCUUUUCUUGUAGAAGACGGAGGACAUGUGGACAGAGGACAAGCGUAUGCUGAAAUAGAGGUCAUGAAAAUGGUGAUGACACUCACAGCAAGUGAAGCUGGCUGUGUGUUUUAUGUGAAACGACCUGGCGCCCUUCUUGAACUUGGGACACUGAUUGCUCACCUUGAACUCGAUGAUGCCUCCCUUGUUACAAAGGCACAGGAAUACAGAGGUGGUUUUCCAGAUAAUGACAGUUCAGCUCCUGGUGUCGCAGAAAAGCUGAAUCACCUACACAAUAAAUACAGAGUAACACUUGAGAAUAUAUUAGCUGGUUACUGUCUUCCUGAUCCAUAUCACUUAGCUCGAUUAAGAGAUGUGAUAGAGAAGUUCAUGAGUUCUCUCCGUGACCCUAGCCUUCCUCUGCUUGAGCUCCAAGAGGUGAUUGCUUCAAUUUCUGGGCGUAUCCCUAUUUCAGUUGAAAAAAAGAUUCGAAAACUGAUGACCUUAUAUGAAAGGAACAUUACUUCAGUAUUAGCUCAGUUUCCAAGCCAGCAAAUAGCUGGUGUUAUUGAUGGACAUGCAGCAACACUGCAGAAGCGCUCAGAUCGUGAUGUGUUCUUUAUGACAACACAAGGAAUUGUUCAGCUUGUCCAGAGGUAUCGAAAUGGCAUAAGAGGGCGUAUGAAAGCUGCUGUCCAUGAACUUCUGCGUCAAUAUUAUGCCGUUGAGAGCCAGUUCCAGCAAGGAAGCUAUGACAAAUGUGUGACAGCCCUACGUGAUAAACACAAAGAUGACAUGGCUGCCGUUACUGCAACCAUCUUUUCACAUUCACAGGUAGCUAAGAAGAAUAUGCUUGUAACUAUGCUAAUAGAUCAUUUAUGGUCAAAUGAACCGGGUCUCACAGAUGAAUUAGCAACUACAUUGAAUGAAUUGACUUCACUGAACCGUAGCGAGCACUCUAGAGUUGCCCUAAGAGCAAGACAAGUGUUAAUAGCUGCUCACCAGCCAGCUUAUGAACUGCGGCACAAUCAAAUGGAAUCAAUUUUUCUGUCUGCAGUUGACAUGUAUGGCCACGAUUUUCAUCCUGAAAACUUGCAGAAACUCAUCAUGUCUGAAACAUCCAUCUUUGAUAUCUUGCACGAUUUCUUUUUCCAUACCAAUAAAGCAGUGUGCAAUGCAUCUCUAGAGGUUUAUGUUCGCAGAGCCUACAUAUCCUAUGAAGUGACAUCACUGCAACUGUUAGAGCUUUCUGAUGAGAUCAGUUUAGUACACUUUCAGUUCCUGCUACCAUCCUCUCAUCCCAACAGGAUUGCAAGAUACACUACAGAAGCACAGGAUGUUGAACUGUCUGCUGUUGCUCCAACUGCAACCUGGCAGCGAACUGGUUGCAUGGCUGCAUUUGAGACUUUUGAGCAAUUUGAACAACAUGCAGAUGAGAUGUUAGAUUUAAUUGAAGACUUUGCUUCACCAGCUACUGUCUCUGCGAGAGUGCUGGAUGCACUUGAAAGUGGUGGCAGUGAGUCGCGUGUGUCUACCAGCAUAAACAUCAGCAUGUCUCUUGGAGACAAUAGGGCAAAUAGUCAAGAUCUAGAAGACAGGCUGGUGGAGCCAAUUCAUAUAAUUAAUGUUGGAGUUAAGGAUAGAGGAGACACAGAUGAUGCAACAUUGAGCAGAAGAUUUGGAGACUUUUGUGCCAGACACAUAGACGAGCUCAAACGAAGAGGGAUCCGUCGAAUAACAUUCCUUGUGCUCAUCAGGCGCCAGUUUCCUAAGUUCUUCACUUACCGGUAUCGUGAUAACUAUUCAGAAGAUCGCAUUUAUCGACAUUUAGAGCCCGCCAUGGCAUUCCAAUUAGAACUCAACAGAAUGCGUACCUAUGACUUGGAAGCCCUUCCUACGUCAAAUCAAAGGAUGCAUCUGUAUCUUGGAAAGGCAAAGGUGGCUAAAGGGCAAGAGGUGACAGAUUAUCGCUUUUUCAUUCGCUGCAUCAUUAGACAUUCAGAUCUCAUCACAAAGGAAGCAUCUUUUGAGUAUUUACAAAAUGAAGCAGAACGUGUUCUGUUGGAGGCUAUGGAUGAGCUAGAGGUUGCCUUCUCCCAUCCAGAUUCACGACGAACAGACUGCAACCAUAUAUUCCUCAAUUUUGUGCCUACUGUCAUCAUGGAUCCUGUGAAGAUUGAGGAGGCUGUAACAGAUAUGGUGAAGCGUUAUGGUCCCCGUCUUUGGAAGCUGCGAGUACUGCAGGCUGAGCUUAAAAUGUUAAUUCGUCAGACACCAAAUUCACCUACAACAAGUGUGCGACUUUGCUUAGCAAAUGACAGUGGUUAUUCAUUGGAUCUAUGGUUAUAUCGAGAAGUCACAGACCCUAAAACAGGUGUUAUAAAAUUUGAGUCAUAUGGUGAAAAACAAGGGCCAAUGCAUGGCUUAGCAAUUUCCACACCGUAUGUCACAAAGGACUAUCUGCAGCAAAAGAGAUUCACUGCACAGAGUGCAGGCACAAGCUAUUGUUACGAUAUCCCUGAUAUGUUUCGUCAGAUGAAUGAAAAGUGUUGGAAGGAGAUUGCAGCUACUAAUUCUGAAGUUGUUGUUCCAACCCAGCUACUGGAGUAUGUGGAAUUAGUUCUUGUGGACGAUCAUCUAGAGGAGCAGAAGAGAUUGCCAGGAGAGAAUGACGUUGGUAUGGUAGCAUGGCGCAUGACCCUUUUCACACCAGAAUAUCCUGAUGGACGUGACAUUAUUGUAAUUGCUAAUGACAUUACAUAUCUUAUUGGAUCCUUUGGGCCCCGAGAAGACUUGGUAUUCCAGUUGGCUUCAGAGUUAGCUCGAAAACUUCAGAUACCUCGAAUAUAUAUAGCUGCCAACAGUGGCGCUCGUAUUGGUCUUGCUGAGGAAGUCAAGAGCCUGUUCAGAGUUGCGUGGGAAGAUGCAGAGGAGCCUGACAAGGGGUUCAAGUAUCUUUACCUUACCACUGAAGACUUUGCUAAGGUGUCGGCAAUGAAUUCAGUGAGAGCAGUGCUUAUUGAAGAUGAGGGUGAGGCACGAUACAAGAUUACUGACAUAAUUGGAAAGGAAGACGGGCUGGGUGUAGAAAACUUAAGAGCUGCUGGAGCCAUUGCAGGUGAAACUUCCCAAGCUUACAAAGAGAUAGUUACUAUAUCAAUGGUGACCUGCCGUGCCAUUGGCAUAGGGUCUUACUUGGUGCGGCUGGGCCAACGUGUUAUUCAGAUUGAAAAUUCACAUAUCAUUCUGACAGGUUACAGUGCUCUGAACAAAUUGUUGGGCCGUGAGGUUUAUGCUUCAAAUAAUCAACUCGGUGGCACACAGAUAAUGUACAAUAAUGGUGUUUCACACAAGACUGAGUCGAGAGAUUUGGAUGGUAUCUACACAAUUCUGAAGUGGCUCUCAUAUGUUCCCAAGGAUAAGCAAUCGCCACUGCCGAUCAUUCAGCCAGUUGACCCAAUAGAGAGAGAAGUUACGUACAUGCCAACUAAGGCGCCCUAUGACCCGAGGUGGAUGCUUGCUGGAAGGCCUUCACCAACAAAUUCAGGUGAAUGGGAAUCUGGAUUCUUUGAUGCUGGCAGUUGGGAUGAGAUCAUGAGACCAUGGGCCCAGACAGUAGUCUGUGGUCGUGCACGCUUGGGAGGAAUUCCAGUUGGUGUGAUUGCUGUAGAGACACGCACAGUGGAACUGACAUUACCGGCAGAUCCCGCAAAUCUUGAUUCUGAAGCUAAGACUGUAUCGCAAGCAGGUCAAGUGUGGUUUCCAGAUUCUGCGUAUAAAACUGCGCAAGCAAUACAAGAUUUUAGCAAAGAAGAUUUGCCACUGUUUAUUUUUGCUAACUGGAGAGGUUUCUCUGGUGGAAUGAAAGAUAUGUACGAGCAGAUUGUCAAAUUUGGAGCAUAUAUUGUGGAUGGACUCCGGGAGUACCAGCAGCCCAUUAUCAUAUAUAUUCCACCAAAUGGUGAGCUCAGAGGUGGUGCCUGGGCUGUAGUUGACCCAACAAUAAAUCCUCGUCACAUGGAGAUGUAUGCUGAUCCAGAGAGUAGGGGUGGUGUGUUGGAACCAGAAGGAAUUGUGGAAAUAAAGUUCCGUAUGAAAGAUAUUGUGAAAGCAAUGCAGCGAUUAGAUCCAGUGAUUCGACAGCUUCGGUCCCAACUGCUGUCCUCUCCUAACCUUUCAAAUGAAGAGAAAGUAAUACUGGAGAACAAAAUAAGUGAAAGAGAACGUUUCCUAAGACCUAUGUACCAUCAAGUAGCAGUACAUUUCGCUGACCUUCAUGAUACUCCUGAGAGGAUGCAUGAGAAAGGUACUAUACAGGAUAUUGUGCCAUGGCGCAAAUCGCGAUGUAUUUUAUAUUGGAGAUUACGCCGGCUUUUAUUGGAGAAUGAGCUAAAAACAAAGCUUCUGGAAAUCCAGCCUGACCUCAGUGUCGGCCAGGCAGAAGCCAGAUUGCGGCGAUGGUUUAUUGAGGACAGAGGAGCCACUGAGGCAUACGUUUGGGAUAACAACAGUGCUGUGGUAGAAUGGUUGACUGAACAGCUACAGGAAGGCUCAACAUUCUGGCACAAUGUGCGCAGUAUGAAGCACGAAGCUGUCGUACAACGAAUCAAAUCUGCUCUGGCAGAAUGCCCGGACAGAGCCUUGGAAGCAGCAGUUACUGCCAUCAUGGAGACCUUAUCGCAAGAAGAGCGAGCUGAACUGGUCUGGGCUCUUUCUCAAGAAGAACCGUCACAGAAACGUCUUUCAAUUACAGGAGAUGCACCCUCUAUUUCUUCCCAGUAGUAUUACAGGAGCUCAGUGUAAUGUUUUGCUGGUUGCUGAAAGGCUGUGACUGUGCUGUGUAUUUUUCAUGGCUGAUUACCUAAUUUUUUGAACAUUGAUGGUGCAAGCAGUCUAUGACAAGUGCCACUUUGUUCAAGUGUCAUGUAUGCUGUGCUAGGAUCCUAGUUGUUAACUGGAUGUUAGAUCCUGCUGACACUUUGUCCUGCAUAGUUCUUUAUGGUGGUUAUGAAGCAGUCUUGUGUGCUCCUAAACAGUGUGUGUCUGUGGUUACUUAUAUGUAAUGAAUGGAUAUUAAAAGUGAGAAAUUGUUACAGUUGUGUUAAAAUGUACAGCAUUGAUGACGCACACUUUGUAUGUUCAAAAAAUUUUUUGCUCACUACUAUCAGACCAUACAUGCUGUAGAUGUUGCAAGUAAAUGGGAAUAUGUAUUGGGAAAAUACUGAUUGCCUGCAACACUGUGUAAGAAGUACUUUGAGAAAGUCACGCAUUAAUGAGGACUCAGCUAUUUUUGUUAACAUCAGUUCCCAUCAAGAUGGAAGUGGUAGGAUAUAAUUGUACUUGCAGUAUGUGUUUGGUUAGAUGUACAAUGUAUGAGAAUGCCUUUCAUCUUUAUGAAUCUGAAAUUGUGUUACAGGAUCUUAACCAGUCUGUUGGAUUUGCAUUGUAAGUAGCAGUUGCUAUAGUUCAACAAGAGACUUGUGUAAGCAAGUGUAUAGUUAAAUGCACAUGCAUAAUUUUGGUUUCAGUAUUUGUUACGCAGUUACUGGUUAAGAGUAUGCUUUACUAGCCCUUUGAAAUGGAAGUACAGUGAACAUACAUUUAAAAAAUUAUAACUGGUUGUACAACAAACAUGUACAGCAUUCAGUAUUCUCGUUUCCGAAGGAAACAAGAAAGGUAGAUUGUAUGUUUUCAGAACAUCUUGAUCCUUUUUCUUUCAACUCACAGUCAGUGCUGAAUGAAGUGGAACUACUUAAUUUUUGAAAAACAAGGAAUAGUUAUAAUGAUAUGGGAUGUUGUUAUAUAUUAAUAAGAAAAAUGGUACAAAAUUACAUUCCAGUCUGUCAGAAGUGUAGAAAAUGGUAUUAUUUAAAGUCCUCCUGUGUUUUCUUAAUUCUUAAAACUUGUUAAACAUGAUUUCUCUACUUAAUUAUUAUUUUGAUUCACUAGUAUAGUGCAGUACAAAGACAAAAAUAGCAUUAUCAGAAAUGAAAGGCACAAAGUUAGCAUAAAAAAGUGUGUGUUCCUUCUGUUUGUGUUUUUCCUCGGUAACAUUGUUCAGGGACCAGCUCACCAAAGUAGUAAAAAAAUGCUCUAAACUUUCAUGUUUUGUGCAGUAAGCAGUCACAUAUUCUCUAACUGUAUUUCCAAGAACUGUGUUUUGCAAACAAAGUCUUGGUACAGGGAAAAAAGGAAUGGUUUUGAGAAGAAAUGUUUUAAUGAUAUGCAAAUCCAUGAAGUGAAAGAUGAUAAUGUUUUACAAAGCUUGCAGUGAGUGGGUCAGUGAAGAGACAGACUGAGUUUCUCCACUGACAAUAGACCUCUUUUUUGCAGAAGGGAACUUUGUUUUAAAAGUGACCAAAGAAUAUGUGUGUGCGUGUGUGUGUGUGUGUGUGUGUGUGUGUGUGUGUGUGUGUGCGUGCGCGCGCAGAUGUACAUGCGGGUGUGCAGUGCACGCACGCGCAUUCAUAUUUUUCUUGUGUGUACCACAGUCAGAGGUGAAGUUAGAAGAGGUUUUCCAGUGUUGUAUUUCAUCUUCUUCAAAGAAAGGUUCACUUCAAGAUAAUAGGUGUAAAUGUGAUAGUGUAUAUUACUAUAAUCGUUGACACUUUGUUUUCUUUUUUGAAAAGUGAUAUGAAAAUAAGUGUUUCUGUGUUUCAGAUCAAGUUAUUAAAUUUAUAUUAACAACAGCUAUAUUUUACACGUGCCUAAGAAGUAUUUUUUCAGCAUGUUGUUGAUUUUCCAGAAGUUUUAGAGGGCAGUAACACCGUAGAGUCGUGUUAAUUGUUACUUAUUAAUAAAUGUGCCUUCUUUGUAGAAACAUUGAGAAGCAAAUUUUUCUUAAAUGAGGUUUGAUAAAAAGAAUAUCCUGAAUUGAUUUGAGUACAUUGCAUACUGAUGGGUUAGUUAAUUUCCACCCAUUGCUGAGCUCCCUUUUGCAACUACAGGCAUCCUUUGUCCUCUAUGAGGAAUGAAAGUCACUAUAUUUUUUAUUUUCAGCAAAAUAUCUUCAAAGUUCACUGUGGAUAUAAACUGAUUGUUUAUGACUGGGUGGUUGUUAAACAGGGAUGUUUCAAGAAAACUUGUUCUGAUGAUUGUAUUGCUUGAAUAGAUAGUCAUGACUAUAUUGAUACACAUGCCAAAGUUUGGAGUAACAGAACAUCUGAUAUGGAAAAAAAGGCACAUUCUUCACAUUGGUGUUACUGCAUUUACAUAUUUCUCCAUUUUUUACAUAACCUGAUGGAGGUGCCUGUUUCUGCCAUAUAACAAAAGUGAUAAUCACAAGACUAAAGGAAUUGUUGCACAUCAUUUGCAUAGCAGCAGUCUAUUUCAAUGUGUAGAAGUCCACUGCCAGUUUCUACUGAAUUGUUGAUUCCACACUUUUUAAGAUGUUAUUCAGGAUAUUUUUUUGUCACCUGCUUGUUCGCCAAUGAUAAACCAAAAGUUAUCUUUAUCAUGGCAGCUGUAAAUCAGAGUUCCCAAACCUAAGGCAGUUAAUGUGUUUUUUUGUGAUAUAUGUAUAUUUGUGUUCUGAAUUUGCUUGUAAAAAGACUUCAAAUAGCUGCACAAAAGUGUAAUUUAUACAACUGAAAUCUAUUUAUAUGUAUUUAGAAAUGGUUCAAUAUAUGUUAUUAUAUUUUUUGCAGUCCGAAAUAAAAAUUUAUAUAU
rnacentral:misc_RNA from 1 species